rnacentral:rRNA from 1 species
UACGAAGGGGGCUAGCGUUGCUCGGAAUCACUGGGCGUAAAGGGUGCGUAGGCGGGUCUUUUAAGUCAGGGGUGAAAUCCUGGAGCUCAACUCCAGAACUGCCUUUGAUACUGGCGAUCUUGAGUCCGGGAGGAGGUGAGUGGAACUGCGAGUGUAGAGGUGAAAUUCGUAGAUAUUCGCAAGAACACCAGUGGCGAAGGCGGCUCACUGGCCCGGUACUGACGCUGAGGUGCGAAAGCGUGGGGAGCAAACAGG